rnacentral:rRNA from 1 species
AGCGCGGGCGGGAAACUAAGCGGAUCUUAAAAGUGCGGGGCUCAACCCCGUGAUGGGGUCCGAACUGGUUUUCUUGAGUGCAGGAGAGGAAAGCGGAAUUCCCAGUGUAGCGGUGAAAUGCGUAGAUAUUGGGAAGAACACCAGUGGCGAAGGCGGCUUUCUGGACUGUAACUGACGCUGAGGCUCGAAAGCUAGGGUAGCGAACG